rnacentral:misc_RNA from 1 species
GAAAGUAAAAGUCGUAACAAGGUCUCCGUAGGUGAACCUGCGGAAGGAUCAUUCCCACGUUUAACAAACGUACCAAACACGAUGCGAGAAACUUCUCAUAUGAAUGUGUUCCGAAACUUGGGGAUUUGGAUGGAAGUAGUAGUGUCUUUGGAUGCUACGAAAACGUUCUCCUUCCCGAGGAGUACCGAGUCAUUCGAGAAACUCCCUUUUGUUCCAAACCUAAUCACUUUGCGAUACUAUACGCCUUAUUGUCUUUGUUGUUUAAAAAACAGAUAGAGCUUUCUUAGGACUGAGCAACGGAUAUCUUGGAUACC